rnacentral:rRNA from 1 species
ACACGCAUGACACACUGCAUAUCAAUAAGCGGAGGAAAAGAAACUAACUAGGAUUCCCUCAGUAACGGCGAGUGAAGCGGGAAGAGCUCAAAUUUGAAAUCUUCAAGGUUUUACCUUGACGAAUUGUAGUUUAAAGAAGUGUUUUCUGUUGAAGUUUUGGUAAAAGUUCUUUGGAAUAGGACAUCAUAGAGGGUGAGAAUCCCGUAUUUGACCAUUUCUUUCAGCUUUGUGAUACACUUUCAAAGAGUCGGAUUGUUUGGGAAUGCAGUCCAAAAUGGGUGGUAAAUUUCAUCUAAAGCUAAAUAUUGGCGAGAGACCGAUAGCGAACAAGUACCGUGAGGGAAAGAUGAAAAGAACUUUGAAAAGAGAGUUAAACAGUACGUGAAAUUGUCAAAAGGGAAGCGUUUGACACCAGUGUUGUUUUUCCGAAAAUCAAUUACGAAUGUUUUGUUUUCGAGGAGUUAUGACUUCAUCGGCUUGCUCCUUUCUUUAUGAAACUUUCUUAAUGCACUUUUCGGUUAACAAGUCAACAUCAAUUUCUUUUGUUGUAAAAGGGUAUGAGGAAGGUGGCUUUCUUUUCGGAGAAAGUGUUUAUAGCCUUGUGCCUCUGCAAUCGGAGAGAUUGAGGUCUGCAGCGUAGAUCCUUCGGGGUUAGAUACGUUUGUGCUAAGUUAUAGCUUUUCAUAGACAACUUGUUGACUAUGUUUAGUCUUGUAGCUUACUCGCUGACGCUAUUUUACCUACGCUUAGGAUGUUGAACUACUGAGACAUAGA